rnacentral:pre_miRNA from 7 species
UUUUCAAAGUAAUAUAUACUGUAGGACCCCAAGAAGGAGCCCCCCACUCAAGUCUCGGGACACGGGGUCACCCAAAGAAACAUAAGAGACC